GCGGACAGAAGGGAGCUUGCUCCCGGAUGUUAGCGGCGGACGGGUGAGUAACACGUGGGUAACCUGCCUGUAAGACUGGGAUAACUCCGGGAAACCGGAGCUAAUACCGGAUAGUUCCUUGAACCGCAUGGUUCAAGGAUGAAAGACGGUUUCGGCUGUCACUUACAGAUGGACCCGCGGCGCAUUAGCUAGUUGGUGGGGUAAUGGCUCACCAAGGCGACGAUGCGUAGCCGACCUGAGAGGGUGAUCGGCCACACUGGGACUGAGACACGGCCCAGACUCCUACGGGAGGCAGCAGUAGGGAAUCUUCCGCAAUGGACGAAAGUCUGACGGAGCAACGCCGCGUGAGUGAUGAAGGUUUUCGGAUCGUAAAGCUCUGUUGUUAGGGAAGAACAAGUGCGAGAGUAACUGCUCGCACCUUGACGGUACCUAACCAGAAAGCCACGGCUAACUACGUGCCAGCAGCCGCGGUAAUACGUAGGUGGCAAGCGUUGUCCGGAAUUAUUGGGCGUAAAGGGCUCGCAGGCGGUUUCUUAAGUCUGAUGUGAAAGCCCCCGGCUCAACCGGGGAGGGUCAUUGGAAACUGGGAAACUUGAGUGCAGAAGAGGAGAGUGGAAUUCCACGUGUAGCGGUGAAAUGCGUAGAGAUGUG
rnacentral:rRNA from 1 species